rnacentral:rRNA from 1 species
GACGAACGCUGGCGGCGUGCCUAAUACAUGCAAGUAGAACGCACAGUUUAUACCGUAGCUUGCUACACCAUAAACUGUGAGUUGCGAACGGGUGAGUAACGCGUAGGUAACCUGCCUGGUAGCGGGGGAUAACUAUUGGAAACGAUAGCUAAUACCGCAUAAUAUUGAUUAUUGCAUGAUAAUUGAUUGAAAGAUGCUAUUGCAUCACUACCAGAUGGACCUUCGUUGUAUUAGCUAGUAGGUGAGGUAACGGCUCACCUAGGCGACGAUACAUAGCCGACCUGAGAGGGUGAUCGGCCACACUGGGACUGAGACACGGCCCAGACUCCUACGGGAGGCAGCAGUAGGGAAUCUUCGGCAAUGGACGAAAGUCUGACCGAGCAACGCCGCGUGAGUGAAGAAGGGUUUCGGAUCGUAAGGCUCUGUUGUAAGAGAAGAACGGGUGUGAGAGUGGAAAGUUCACACUGUGACGGUAUCUUACCAGAAAGGGACGGCUAACUACGUG